CCCCCUUAUAUCUUCAUAACGACCCUGCAAGCUAGGCCUGUCUUAGAAAGUAUGAUUGACGCAAAGUCACCUUGGCGGGGAAUUGAACCCAGGUUUCUUGACUCCUAGUCCAGAACUCUUAAGUCUCGCACCACCCUGCCUCCGCCUCUAACUGCAUUCGGGAAGCAGCCGUUCCCACUAAAGAGGCACCCCCUGUUAAUCUUGCAGUCCAUUUCUCUGUCUUGCGUCCUUUCAGAGACGGGCUUUCCCCAAAGAGGACUUGCAGGCAGUGCACGGCGUUUGCACAGGAGAAAAUGUGGCCCAGGACGUGGUUCGAUGGGCUGAGACGGCUCAGGUGGAGAAAGCCGUGGCUUUUUUGCAAAAGCGCCAUGAGGAAGGGGAGCUGCCUCUUUCCUUUAGUGCAAGCAGCGGUGCCGAAGGGAGGACGCUGCAGGCCCUGAUCCAGACAGAGCUACAGGCACAGAUAGAGGAGAAGAAGCCAAAGUGAUGGGAGCUAUUCAGGAAGCAGCAAGACAGGCCACCCAACUCACUGCUGAGGACACGACCUAUUUUCUCCUAAGCGGGUGGCAUUUACGGCAAGCAGCCCUGUUGGAAGCUGGCCUUCCGCUCCAAAAAACUGGCCGACGAACUCCCAAGGAUGAGAGCAAAGCAGGAAACCCAGUGCUGGACCGGCUGGAGGAUGCUCGCCAGGUGGCCAAGCAACUGCAGGAAUUCCGGCAGCGGAAGACCAAAGAGCUCAUAGAUCAGCUGCAACCUUUUUUCCUCCUUGGUGAACAAACACCAAAGAAGGAGACAUCGGUCAUUGGCAACCAAAGAGGGAAUGGAAGGUCCUCGUUAGUAAAGGACGAGAAAGAGAAGAAAGGAAAGGGGAAAUGGGAAAGUUUCCAAGAAGCUCGGUUGGCGGAGAUGGAGAAAUCUUACCGGGGCCAAAUACUGGAGGAAAAAGCGAAAAUGCAGGAUCAGCUGGAAAAGGGUGAAAUCAAGAAAUGGUUGAAGCAGAAGCUGUUGAGAGAACAUGAUGAAACGCUGACCUUCCUGGAUAGAGCAUUCCAGCAAGAUAUGCAGAAGCAGAGAGGAAGGGUGGAGGUGGAGAAAAGGAGGAGACAAGCCAGUCAAGAAGAUGGAAGCUACCCAAUAUCUAAGGAUGCCGCUGUGCAGGAACAGGAUCCACCCAGCCUGGCCGAAGGUGACAAAGUCAACUCCCUCUUGGCGGAAUAUGUCAAGAUGCUGAGACACACUGAACUCCUGGUGCUUUUAAGAACGACCCUCUUGAAUCCUCAGUUCAGGUCCCUUCUUUCUGGUAGGUUUUACUUUCCCAAGGGGCUGGAGACUCAUCUGAAAGGGUUUGGCCAUUUGUUGAGAUUUAAAUUCACCAGCAAAGCAUCUGUGUUUUUGUGUAGACAAGAAGGAAACUGGUGA
rnacentral:lncRNA from 1 species